GCAUGAUGCAUAGAAGUCACUCAAUAAAUAUUUGGCGAAGUUAGUCACUUUCUGCUGCUCAGACCAGGCUGCCAUUCUUCCUGCCUGGUGCAUUAAUUUUGACGCAGAUCAUUUGGUUGGCCUGCAAACCGUGUCAAAAUGUCAACUACUUUUUCAGAAAACGAACUUUAAUAAACUGCUCAUGCUAACCCAGGUAGUGAGUGAAGGAGCUGAGAAUCAAUCCCAGGUCUUCUGGUUCUUCCGGUCUCAGUUGAACUAAUCUGUUGGUGGGAUUUUGGGGCCAGCCCUCACUCGAGUGAACUGUGCUAUCAGCUGUCUCCUGCAGGCAGUGAAUCCGCAGAAGAGAAGUCAGCCUCUUCAGAGGUGGGCAAAGCCUGGGGACUCUGAAGCCAAGUUGAGAAAGCUAAAGGAAGACAUCAAUAAAACAUCUGCUGGGCCAGGCAUGGUGGCUCACACCUGUAAUCCUAGCACUUUGGGAGGCCGAGGAGACCAGAAUAGGCUGCCCCCAGAUAUGAAGGAUUAUUGAGCUGAAGAAAAUCAAGAAGUAGGUGCAGGAAAACUCUCUUCUCUCUCUCUAUUUGCCUAAGAGCAGGACAUAGAUUUCCGAAGAAGGUGUCCUGCCCCGUCUUCUACCAAGGAGAACGAAGGUUAACCACUGCAGACAGCUUUAGAUGCGUCUCGCUUCUCUGCCUGGAGAUGGUACCAGAGGAAGCUACAUGAACAAGCUUUGCUAAGUACCCUUUAUCUGUGUUAAAUUAAGUCUAGCCUAAUGCCGCCUCCUUACAUAUUCUAAGUUCAACGUACAGGCUGAACUCCAUACUCAGUGAACCAUAACCUAACUGGGUCUGUGAACCUAACUGAAUGUAAUCUACUCUUAGGCCAAUCACUGAGUUUCAGCCAAUGAAAGACAGCCAACUGUUCAAACCGUAUUAAAAAAAAAAAAAAAAAAA